rnacentral:rRNA from 1 species
UACGGAGGGGGCAAGCGUUGUUCGGAAUUACUGGGCGUAAAGCGCACGUAGGCGGCUCUGUAAGUCAGAGGUGAAAGCCCGGGGCUCAACUCCGGAAUUGCCUUUGAGACUGCAUCGCUAGAAUUGUGGAGAGGUAAGUGGAAUUCCGAGUGUAGAGGUGAAAUUCGUAGAUAUUCGGAAGAACACCAGUGGCGAAGGCGACUUACUGGACACAUAUUGACGCUGAGGUGCGAAAGCGUGGGGAGCAAACAGG